AGGACGACAAGAAAAAGAAGAAAAAGGACAAGAAGAAGAAGAAGAAGAAGGACAAGAAAAAGGAUGGUGAGCAGAGUGAGGUCAGCAGUUCCACUGCUCUCUCAGCAGCGGAUGGUGAGAAAGCAGGACCCAGUGCAGAUGGAGACAAAAAGGAAGGUGCUGACAAGG